rnacentral:misc_RNA from 1 species
GAUGAAGAACGUAGCGAAGUGCGAUAAGUAAUGUGAAUUGCAGAAUUCCGUGAAUCAUCGAAUUUUUGAACGCAAAUUGCACUCUCUUUGGAGAGUAUGCCUGUUUGAGGGUCAGUAUUAAUAAAAAUCGGCGUGUUGCUCUUUCGUGACGCUCCGGAGUUUGGGUCAUCUUAUAACGAUACCUUUCGAGGUGUUUUUAAGAGGCUUAAAAUUGACAUCUUUUUUGCGCAUUUUAGACGUACAUAAAUUUUUUUUAUUCGUUUAUUCUAAUGCCAAAAUCUAUUAGAUGUGACCAUAUCGUGUGGUUCCGUGUCUAUAAAUUUUUUCAUGAUUUGACCUCAAAUCAGGUAGGAACACCCGCUGAACUUAAGCAUAUCAAUAAGCGGAGGA